rnacentral:rRNA from 1 species
UACAGAGGGUGCAAGCGUUAAUCGGAAUUACUGGGCGUAAAGGGUGCGUAGGUGGUUAAUUAAGUCAGAUGUGAAAUCCCUAGGCUUAACCUAGGAAUUGCAUUUGAAACUAAUUUGCUAGAGUACGGGAGAGGGAAGUGGAAUUUCCGGUGUAGCGGUGAAAUGCGUAGAUAUCGGAAGGAACACCGGUGGCGAAGGCGGGUCUCUGGGCAGUAACUGACGCUGAGGAGCGAAAGCGUGGGGAGCGAACAGG